rnacentral:rRNA from 1 species
CACGUAGGGGGCAAGCGUUGUCCGGAUUUAUUGGGCGUAAAGAGCUCGUAGGCGGCUUCGGUAAGUCAGGUGUGAAACCUCCAGGCUCAACCUGGAGACGCCACCUGAUACUGCUGUGGCUAGAGUCCGGUAGGGGAGCGUGGAAUUCCUGGUGUAGCGGUGAAAAUGCGCAGAUAUCAUAGGAAGACCAGUGGCGAAGGCGGGUCUCUGGACAGUUCCUGACGCUGAGGCACGAAGGCCAGGGGAGCAAACGGG